UGGUUGGUAUUUUGAAGCAUUCUUCCUUCUUCAACAAAAUUCAAAGCUACAUAGCACACAUCAUCCCCAACAAUUCUCCAAUGCUUCUUUAAAAAAAAAGCUAGUAUGACCAUUAAUAUCUUAUUCCAUUAAUGCUUCUUUAAGCGCAAACACAUUAAACAGAUGGUACGAGGAGAAAUGUAAAUGGAUCUAUUUUUUAAAACCCUAAACCACAUAGCCCUACUUAAAUCAUCGGAUAUAUUUUCAUGUUUUGCCCUAAAAAUAAAAUAAACUGGGCAAACUCAACAGGCACCUUCGACCUACAAAGAUGACUACUAGCAUUCGCUACUUUGUAUCAGUAAGAAACUAUCACUGUCCUACUCACGGAUAGCGUAUAACAACUUUGACUUGGCUAACUACUGCAAAGAACUNNNN
rnacentral:lncRNA from 1 species